rnacentral:rRNA from 1 species
GAUGUCUAGGGGUUAUGAGAGGAAGGUCCCCCACACUGGAACUUAGACACGGUCCAGACUCCUUCGGGAGGCAGCAGUGAGGAAUAUUGGUCAAUGGACGCAAGUCUGAACCAGCCAUGUCGCGUGCAGGAUGACUGCCCUAUGGGUUGUAAACUGCUUUUAUAUUGGAAGAAUUGCGCUUACGAGUUAAGCGUUUGACGGUACAUUAUGAAUAAGGAUCGGCUAACUCCGUGCCAGCAGCCGCGGUAAUACGGAGGAUCCGAGCGUUAUCCGGAUUUAUUGGGUUUAAAGGGUGCGUAGGCGGAAAUGUAAGUCAGUGGUGAAAUCCUGCAGCUUAACUGUAGAAUAGCCGUUGAAACUGUGUUUCUUGAGUACAUUUGAGGUAGGCGGAAUGUGGUGUGUAGCGGUGAAAUGCAUAGAUAUACCACAGAACACCGACUGCGAAGGCAGCUUACUAAACUGUCACUGACGCUGAUGCACGAAAGCGUGGGUAUCAAACAGGAUUAGAUACCCUGGUAGUCCACGCUGUAAACGAUGAUUACUGGUUGUUUGCGAUACACUGCAAGUGACUGAGCGAAAGUAUUAAGUAAUCCACCUGGGGAGUACGUCGGCAACGAUGAAACUCAAAGGAAUUGACGGGGGCCCGCACAAGCGGAGGAACAUGUGGUUUAAUUCGAUGAUACGCGAGGAACCUUACCUGGGUUUAAAUGGGGAGUGACAGGCUUGGAAACAGGCCCUUCUUCGGACACUCUUCAAGGUGCUGCAUGGUUGUCGUCAGCUCGUGCCGUGAGGUGUCGGGUUAAGUCCCAUAACGAGCGCAACCCCUAUCGAUAGUUACCAGCACGUUACGGUGGGGACUCUAUCGAGACUGCCGGUGUAAACCGUGAGGAGGGUGGGGAUGACGUCAAAUCAGCACGGCCCUUACAUCCAGGGCUACACACGUGUUACAAUGGCCGGUACAAAGGGCAGCUACACAGCGAUGUGAUGCUAAUCUCCAAAUCCGGUCUCAGUUCGGAUCGAAGUCUGCAACCCGACUUCGUGAAGCUGGAUUCGCUAGUAAUCGCGCAUCAGCCGUGGCGCGGUGAAUACGUUCCCGGGCCUUGCACACACCGCCCGUCAAG